UACAGAGGUCUCAAGCGUUGUUCGGAUUCAUUGGGCGUAAAGGGUGCGUAGGCGGUUUGUCGCGUCUGCUGUGAAAACUCGGGGCUUAACUCCGGGCCUGCAGUGGGUACGGGCAGACUGGAGUACUGCAGGGGAGACUGGAAUUCCUGGUGUAGCGGUGGAAUGCGCAGAUAUCAGGAGGAACACCGGUGGCGAAGGCGGGUCUCUGGGCAGUAACUGACGCUGAGGAGCGAAAGCGUGGGGAGCGAACAGG
rnacentral:rRNA from 1 species